AAGAUGAAUUCCCUGCAUCCCAACACUUGGAGACCUUCAAAGGUCCUGAUUUCUUCCAGCAGGGGUCUGAAGGAGCCUGAUUGUUGAAGCAAAACUUCCCGUUUACCUACUGAUUGGAGGGUUUUUGAGCAUCUGGAAGCCAGAACAAAUAUGACCAUCCAUCCUCCCGCUGACCUUCCAGAUGACUGCAGGUGCAUGAGCACGCCCAGCAGGGAUCAGCUGAGCAAAAUCACCUCACCGAAUCAUAGUUUUUUAAUACAAAUGGGACCAGCUAAAAUGAACUUCAAGGAGAUUUUGAAAAGGAAAGGAGUGGGGAAAGACAUCACAAAGAAACAAAAUAAGUAGUCUUAAGUCUGCAAGAGAUGUACUGCGGAAGGUUUGUUCUGUUAUUUUUUUUCCUCUGCGUUUAUUGAAUAAAACAAAUCAAUAAAAAUGGUGUAUAUUCCAGGUGUACAACAUGAUGAUUUGAUGUUCAUAUACAUUGUGGGAUGUGAGAUGAUUACCACAAUCAAAUUAAUACACCUAUCACCAUAUAUAGCUACCAGUGUGUGUGUGUGUGUGUUUGUGUGUGUGUGGUGAAUACACUUAAGACCUACUCUUAGCAAAUUUCAAGUAAACAGUACAGUAUUAUCAACUAUAGUCAUCAUGCUGUAUAUUAGAAUCCCAUAAUUUAUUAUUCAUCUUAUAAAUGAAAGUCUGUACCCUUUGACCAACCUCUAUUCCCCCCACCUCCUAGACUGCCUUCUUUGUUUUUUUGUUUGCUUUGUUUUGUUGUUGUUGUUGUUUUGUUUUUUUUUGUUUUGAGACAGAGUCUCACUCUGUCACUCAGGCUGGAGUGCAGUGGCACGAUCUCGGCUAACU
rnacentral:lncRNA from 1 species